rnacentral:lncRNA from 10 species
GCCCUUUCUAGCAAUCUCAAGGUUUGUAGAAACCUUGUUAAAAGCCCUCUUUCCUGGCAGCCUCUGACCUCCAAAAAGUCUGAUUGGGAUCCCCUAACUGAUGAGGGAGGCUGAGGCUGAGGGAGUCCACCCAGGGUAACAUCGGCACGGUCUGAAUCACAGGGCUUUCUGGAAUGACCCAGAGGCCACCCCUUCCUUAAUUUGGGAAGCUCCAGGCUAGAGGACAUGAUGAGUGUUCAUGCUGAGGUUCUCCUGAGUCCAGCAGCGUGAGGCGAGCUCAGAGCCCAGGAGUGUGGUUCGGGAUGGUGCUGCCCUCAGCCCCCAUGCUGCGUCCUGACCCCCCGCCCAUCCAUCUGCCCAGCCUGUCAAUGUGGACUCACACACACCUGGUGUCACCUCAGAGCAAUCCAAAGUAAAAGACCCUGCUGGUCCAUGUCUCCCCUCCUGGUGGUUCCUUCAUCUCCAUUAUCUUCUUCUUCAUCAUCCUCAUUGUCACCACGUACUGCAGACAUGUCCCAUGCCUGUAAGUGACUUCUGGGAUACUGUUUAAUCCUCCAACAAAUCCUACGAGCUGGAGCUUAUUAGUUCUCUAUUGCAGAAGAGAAAACUGAGGCUCCGGGAGGCUAUGGGACUUCUCUGUCCCAUCUUAGCAACAGAGGUGGAAUCCACAGUCCACACCUUUGACUGGGACAUGGCCCUACCCACCCUUCAGGGGCUGAGAACUGGCGCAGACUCAGCCUUCAGCUGAUUUUCACCUGAUUCUUAGCAGACGUCUUGGAAAAACCUCCUGGUGACAUAAUAAGAGCAGUGUGGCUCCAGGGUCGGGGAGGAAUUUAGGGGGUGAGAAUUGGGGGUGCCCCCCCUUGCCCUGAGCCAGGGCAGCUGCAGAGAAAGUACUAUUCAGGGCAGGGCAGGAAUGGACCCUGGAGAGCCUGAGGGUCCCACAGGGAGAGCACGCUGUCUACCCCCAGCACAGCCCCCGCCUCUCCUGGGGCUCAGCAGGCAGAGGGGAGAGGGCAGGUUCAGCCCAGAGAAGAGGGACUGUCACAGGUACCAAGCUUGUCUACUUUGGCAGGAGAAAGCUAAGGUCUGUAAUCACACUUUCUGUUUUCACUUUUCUUCCAUUUCUGAGUAAGCAUUUCUAUUGGAAAACUCCAGACUUGUCUGAGCUCAACGAAAGGAAAAGGGAUCUGUGGGCACCCAGAGCAGGCCAGGGGUGGGGGUGGGGAGCCGGGCCCCUGAGUGGGUAGUAUGCGUUUCCAGGGGCUCAGAUCUGAUGAUCCCAUCCUUGGCUCCACAAAUUCAAUCCAUGCCCCUUAGCUUGGCAUUCGAGGCCUUUCCUUCAUCUGGCUUCAGCCCCUGCUUCUCUCUGGCUUACAUCCAGGUUUCUGCUCACAUUGUUCCCUAUGCCCACAAUGCCCUUUCCUCCCAUCCUAAGAGAUCCAAUGCCCAAACUCUGGUCAUCCUUCAAGGCCCAGCCCAGAUGCCUCCUCCUCCAUGAAGCCUUCCUUGACCCCCUCAGCUGGACAUGACAUCUCCCUCUUCUGAAUUCCCACAGCCCUUGGUUCAUACUUCUCUGAGGGCGUAUUCCAUUCUCCCACCAGCAGCAGACCUUGGUUGUGACCCUACCCAGCAUCCUUCCUCCUUCUGAUCAAAACACUCCAAUAUUCCAUGAGAAAUAUCUGUCGCCCACCUUCAGACAUGUGGUCCAGAAGAAGCUGAUUCCACUCCCAGGAUCCAGAGAGGCUCAUAAGGCCCAGGCCUCGAAGUCGGAGUAGCCCAUCUUUUCUCCUACCCCCUCCACUUCUGAACCCUGUGCUUGCUAUGGGAUCAGUUCAGGAUCAGAUGGCAGAAUCGCAAGAGCUCCGCAUCCCCAGGGACUCAUCUGAAAGACAAUGUGAAGCAAAGACAAUGUGAGGCGUGGGGAGACUUCCAGGU